ACACCAGCGUAAAUUGCGAUUUUAAUUAUGUGGAAAAUGAAACAAAAAGUUCACAAGUUUUUUUUUAAAUAAUAUUCGUAUUUUGUGUUAACUAAUUCGGCCACAUCGAAAUUCUCAUAUGGGGUUUAUUCUCCACACGGCACAGUAGGUGGGUGUUUGUCAUGGUCUGUGGAAUAGGCUUUAUUAGUUUGCUCACCGCGCAUUACGUCGAUCGAGCAUGGGCAUAAUGGCAAAUCGAGGAGAGCUCUAUCAUACCGUGCAGAAACCACACAUUUACCUACUUGCUAUCGUGGAAGUUACGCGUUUUUUGUUUAGAAGACAGACCGUCGAGCUAAAAAAUACCGCUAUCAGUUUGUAAGUGUGCGUUUAAGCCUUGCAAACAUAUGCGUGGCAGCCCAUGGCUUCCAUCAUGCUCGAUUAGUCUAAUCGAGUGCCUUUGCAAGCUGGAGGAUGCUCCAUUUAAGGGGAUGUGUUCUCAUACUGUCCGCGGCCUACCUAGUUCGUGAGAUACAAUGCGCGACCCAGCUUCAAACUCAGGUGACGGUGCCGUCGGCGCAGGAGGUGGGUCAGGCGGUGAACAAUGCCGGCGCCUGGGCCGGGAACCAGGUAAACAAUGCAGGGCAGGUGGCCGGCAAUGUGGUCAACGGCGCAGGGCAAGUGGCCGGCAAUGUGGUCAACGGCGCAGGCAAUCUGGCCGGGCAGGCGGUCAGCGGCGCAGGCAACUUGGCCGGGCAGGCGGUCAACGGGGUCGGCCAUGCGGCCGGCACGGUAGUCAACGGAGCUGGUCAAGUGCUUAGGCGCGCCGGACAGCUGGGCAAGCAGGCCGUGAGUGGCCUCGGCAACGCCGCCCAGAACGUAGGCAACUUCGCCGGCAAUGUCGUAAAUGGCAUCGGGAAUGGGUUGACGUACGCGGUGACGGCAGGCGGACGAACGAUCCAGGCGGCUGGGCAAGCCAUCACGAACGUGGCCAUGUUCCCGAUAAACGUUGCCCGAGGCACUUACAGCGACCUCCAGAUGAGGAUGAUGAAAAUGCAGCUCCAGAUGGCUGCUUACAAGCAAGCUGUGGCCAACAGCUACAACUACUCCUCACCCCAGUACGCCUACCAAUCGGCCAUGUUCGACCAGAUCGCAAUCGUCGACCUCACACCCUACGUCAAUUCGCUGAACGCAGACUUGACGCCGUACGGGCAGAUGGUACGGAUCACCAGGACGAAUGGGGUGCCGGCCUACAUCUUUCCGACUAUCCUCGACGCGAAUGCUGCGAGCCACUCGCUUCCCAACGGCUUCAGCCUCCAGCAGAACCAAAUCGUCAACGCACGUGGCCAGGUUGUCGGGGGCGUCCCUCAGUAUCAGCCCUCCUACAACGGCAAAGUCCUCAAUGAUGCCGCGGGAAAUCAGUACGUGCUUGGACCAGACAUCUACCUGGACCAACAAGGUAACCUGCUGUAUAGGCGGAAUAACCAGCCGUGGGCGAUCGCCGGCCAAUACGUAAUCGAUUUGGGAGGUAACGUCUACGACUCUGGGGGCAAUAUCAUCGGGAACUUGUGCCGCUGUUUUGGGAUCACGGGGAGUUUCGGGCCCAACGGUGCCAUCGUUUUACAAUAA
rnacentral:lncRNA from 1 species